GACGAACGCUGGCGGCGUGCUUAACACAUGCAAGUCGAACGAAGUGGCGAACGGGUGAGUAACGCGUAAUCAACCUGCCCUUCAGAGGGGGACAACAGUUGGAAACGACUGCUAAUACCGCAUACUGAAGGAGGGGAUUGCGGCUGAUUAGCUAGUUGGAGGGGUAACGGCCCACCAAGGCGAUGAUCAGUAGCCGGUCUGAGAGGAUGACCGGCGACAAUGGGACUGAGACACGUCCCAUACUCCUUCGGGAGGCAGCAGUGGGGAAUCUUCCGCAAUGGGCGAAAGUCUGACGGAGCAACGCCGCGUGAGUGAUGACGGCCUUCGGGUUUUAAAGCUCUGUUAAUCGGGACGCGGUACCGGAAUAGAAAGCCACGGCUAACUACGUGCCAGCAGCCGCGGUAAUUC
rnacentral:rRNA from 1 species